AUUGAACGCUGGCGGCAGGCCUAACAUAUGCAAGUCGAGCGGAUGAAGGGAGCUUGCUCCUGGAUUCAGCGGCGGACGGGUGAGUAAUGCCUAGGAAUCUGCCUGGUAGUGGGGGAUAACGUCCGGAAACGGGCGCUAAUACCGCAUACGUCCUGAGGGAGAAAGUGGGGGAUCUUCGGACCUCACGCUAUCAGAUGAGCCUAGGUCGGAUUAGCUAGUUGGUGGGGUAAAGGCCUACCAAGGCGACGAUCCGUAACUGGUCUGAGAGGAUGAUCAGUCACACUGGAACUGAGACACGGUCCAGACUCCUACGGGAGGCAGCAGUGGGGAAUAUUGGACGAUGGGCGAAAGCCUGAUCCAGCCAUGCCGCGUGUGUGAAGAAGGUCUUCGGAUUGUACAGCCCUUUAAGUUGGGAGGAAGGGCAGUAAGUUAAUACCUUACUGUUCUGACGUUACCAACAGAAUACGCACCGGCUAACUUCGUC
rnacentral:rRNA from 1 species